AUUGAACGCUAGCGGGAUGCCUUACACAUGCAAGUCGAACGGCAGCGGGAAGUAGCUUGCUACUUUGCCGGCGAGUGGCGAACGGGUGAGUAAUGUAUCGGAACGUGCCCAGUAGCGGGGGAUAACUACGCGAAAGCGUGGCUAAUACCGCAUACGCCUACGGGAAGGGGGGACGUCUUCGGAGCUCGUCACUAUUGGAGCGGCCGAUAUCGGAUUAGCUAGUUGGUGGGGUAAAGGCCU
rnacentral:rRNA from 1 species